GUGACAUCUGAUGUAACUGCUCGUGGGGUUGAUUAUCCUGAUGUUACACUUGUCAUGUUAUUUUUCUAAUUAGAAUUAAAGUCUCUUUUUUUUCUUUUGGCAGUUCUAUUAGUGGGAGAGUGUACUGAUAUGUAUGUUUCAAACCUGUAGUGAAAUGAGGCAUUUGGCUUGCUAGUCAGAUAUCCUAGUCUGUAUCCAGGUGGGCUUGCCAGCUGAUAGAGAACAGUAUAUACCUCGGCUAGGUAGAACUGGGCGUAAGGGUAAAGAAGGGCGAGGAAUACUCUUGCUAGCACCAAGGGAGGAAUUCUUUCUAUCUAGCAUCAAGGAUUUGCCAAUGACAAAGGCUCCUUUGCCUUCAGUGGAUCCAGACACAGAAAAAGGUGGAACGGGCAGUUUCCAAUGUAGUAAUGAAGACCAAAGAAUCAGCAUAUCAGGCGUGGCUUGGUUAUUACAAUUCUGUUAAGAAUGUUGGCAAGGGUAAGUGCAAACUUGUGGUGCUUGCAAACGAGUUCAGCAGAAGCAUGGGUCUUGACGACCCUCCUGGAAUUCCUAAGCUCGUCCUUUGGAAGCUGGGCCUAAGGAAUACCCCUGGUCUGCGUGCCAAAUAGACCUGGAGCUCGACCGCUGCUUCAAUCUUUCUCAAUUAUGGCAUCACCUUGGAUAUAUUCCCGAUAGAAGAUAGUACCAUAAUUCCUUUGCAGAUCACUAGGCUUUAAGCACUCCUUUUGAUUUUUUUUUUUUACAAGUAUUUUUUUAAAAAAAUUUGAUCA